UUAACUCAAACUUGUAUGGAGUUGGAACGUUUGCCUUCGUUUGCCGCUAAGGGCGCUGUUCGAACUACAUACAAAUUUG
rnacentral:pre_miRNA from 1 species